AAGCAGUGCCAGCUGUCAAGCCACUGUGACUCUGGAAGAGGAUGAGGGAAGUUUUGACAACGCCUUUCCCUUCUCCUUGGCCUUGCAUCUCCCUCCAGUCUCUCUCUGUUCAUACCUGGAGCUUCCAGCCCAGCUUCCAGCCUUGUGGAGCACCCUGUCAUCACUCUGGGGGAUUGCCCCCCUGAGCUCCUCUCCUGGCUCCUGAUGCUUCUCUCCCCUCCUGUGAACUUUGGGUUGCAUGAUUUAGCCCUCUUUUGAGUUUUUGGAGUUUCAGCCAGCUCCUCAGAGUAUUUAUGGUCUCUCCUAUCCCGUGUUUUCUGAUCUUUUCCCCCUCCGUCCUCUGCUCAGAAGGAUUGCCUUGAUUCUCCAUGAUAUUUGUAGGAGCACAGCCCCUUGGCUCCUCAGUACUCUGAUCCCUGAGCACUUGGAGAGUGAAGGCUUGGACUGACAUGACGAUUUUUCUUACACUUAGAUAAAAGUUUCAAUUCUCUUUUCUGUAACAGCUUCCAGGAUACCUUCCAUGAAACAUUUUAACCACACUUUUUGCUUGAGAGUUUAUUAAGAUAAAAAUGGUUUAGUUUGAGCUGUGUGGCCAUUUACUCUAGAAAAUGUGGAAUUUCUUAUAGUCUAGUGCAUAAUAUGUUAAAGUUAAGGGCCAAGUACACAUCGUACUGCUUUUCAACAGAAAAAGCCUUUUCCUGAAGUAUUGUUUUUAUGGGAAAUUGGCUCUUAAUAUGCAAAUAAAUACCUAUCUGU